UGUGUGGGGUCCUGCGAGGCCAAACAGGCUGAGGCCCUGCAGAGCAUCGCCACCGACCCCGGGCUCUACCAGAUGCUGCCUCGCUUCAGCACCUUCAUCUCUGAGGGGGUGAGGGUGAACGUGGUGCAGAACAACCUGGCUCUGCUCAUCUACCUCAUGAGGAUGGUGAAGGCCCUGAUGGACAACCCCACCUUGUACCUGGAGAAAUACCUGCACGAGCUGAUCCCGGUGGUGCUGACGUGCAUCGUGAGCCGCCAGUUGGGGUGUCCCC